AUGUAUACAUCAAUUUCAGGUGUGUCAAGCACUGGACAUGUAUCAUUAUCUACCUGCACUCCUGGCAACAUUUCAGUUCGAAUAUCAGAUGAAGCACAUGCAUCUGAUUCGAUUUGCUCAAUAUUUUCUCUUGACAAAUCAGGAUCGGUUUCAAUGUCCACAUAUCUGCUUUCCACAGAUGAAAGGAAAGUGAUGGAAGGCACUGAGAAAUUAUUGUCUCGAUGGAUGGGAGUUUAA